AACGAACGCUGGCGGCAUGCCUAAUACAUGCAAGUCGAACGCGUCUAGCAAUAGACGAGUGGCGGACGGGUGAGUAACGCGUGGGAACCUGCCCUUGAGUGCGGGAUAACCGAGGGAAACUUCGGCUAAUACCGCAUGAGCCCCGAGCAAUCGGGGGAAAGAUUUAUCGCUUAAGGAGGGGCCCGCGUCGGAUUAGCUAGUUGGUGGGGUAACGGCCUACCAAGGCGAUGAUCCGUAGCUGGUCUGAGAGGAUGAUCAGCCACACUGGGACUGAGACACGGCCCAGACUCCUACGGGAGGCAGCAGUAGGGAAUAUUGGACAAUGGGGGCAACCCUGAUCCAGCAAUGCCGCGUGAGUGAUGAAGGCCUUAGGGUUGUAAAGCUCUUUCGCGCGCGACGAUGAUGACGGUAGCGCGAGAAGAAGCCCCGGCUAACUUCGUGCCAGCAGCCGCCGUAACAC
rnacentral:rRNA from 1 species